CUGGGUGGUGCAAAUGGUUAAAGCAUUCGGUUGCUAACCAAAAGAUUGGUGGUUUAAGUCCACCCAACCAGC
rnacentral:tRNA from 1 species